CCGGUGUCUCCCUCUCGCUGCCUCUGCAGAAACAGCUCCUGCCAGAGCGGCGCUCGGCGCGGCGCGGCGGGCCCGGAGCGGCGGCGGCGGCUCUUCCUGCCUCCGCGCCCAGGAGUUGCCGGCUCCCUUUGACAGCAGAGAGCCGGGCAGGGGCCUCAGGAGGACUCGCCGGCAGUGGGCAGAGGCGCCUCGGCCCCUGCCGGCCCAGGCGGGCCCCGCGCGCCCCCCGCCCCUCCUUUCCGCCUCUUCUCGCCCUGCCUCUCCCGAUUUAUUUUUUCAAAUGGUGUAGCCGCCAGAGGUGCGGUGCUCAAUUCUUGGAAGGGGCCCGGAUGUACUGAGGAUGCAUUACAAUUUCACUCGAGGAGGCAGUAGUGGAAAGGAGCAGUUUUUGGGGUUUGAUGCCAUAAUGGGAAUCAGGUAAUCGUCGGCAGGGAAGAAGAAACACUGCAGACCACGGCUUCCUCGAAUCUUGCACGAAAGCCGCCGGCCUCGGAGGAGGGAUUAAUCCAGACCCGCUGGGGGGUGUUUUCACAUUUCUUCCUCUUCGUGGCUGCUCCUCCUUUGAAAACCAUUUUUGGUCCAUGGUCAAUGAGAAUACGAGGAUGUACAUUCCAGAGGAAAACCACCAAGGUUCCAACUAUGGGAGCCCACGCCCCGCCCAUGCCAACAUGAAUGCCAAUGCGGCCGCGGGACUGGCCCCUGAGCACAUCCCCACCCCGGGGGCCGCCCUGUCCUGGCAGGCGGCCAUCGACGCAGCCCGGCAGGCGAAGCUGAUGGGCAGCGCUGGCAACGCGACCAUCUCCACAGUCAGCUCCACGCAGCGGAAGCGGCAGCAAUAUGGGAAACCCAAGAAGCAGGGCAGCACCACGGCCACACGCCCGCCCCGAGCCCUGCUCUGCCUGACCCUGAAGAACCCCAUCCGGAGGGCCUGCAUCAGCAUUGUCGAAUGGAAACCAUUUGAAAUAAUUAUUUUACUGACUAUUUUUGCCAAUUGUGUGGCCUUAGCGAUCUAUAUUCCCUUUCCAGAAGAUGAUUCCAACGCCACUAAUUCCAACCUGUUUUGA
rnacentral:lncRNA from 10 species